GUGGGGAAUAUUGGGCAAUGGGCGAAAGCCUGACCCAGCAACGCCGCGUGAAGGAAGAAGGCCCUCGGGUUGUAAACUUCUUUUAAGAGGGACGAAAGAAAUGACGGUACCUCUUGAAUAAGCCACGGCUAACUACGUGCCAGCAGCCGCGGUAAUACGUAGGUGGCGAGCGUUAUCCGGAUUUACUGGGUGUAAAGGGCGUGUAGGCGGGAGUGCAAGUCAGAUGUGAAAAUUAUGGGCUCAACCCAUAACCUGCAUUUGAAACUGUUCUUCUUGAGUGAUGGAGAGGCAGGCGGAAUUCCGUGUGUAGCGGUGAAAUGCGUAGAUAUACGGAGGAACACCAGUGGCGAAGGCGGCCUGCUGGACAUUAACUGACGCUGAGGCGCGAAAGCGUGGGGAGCAAACAGGAUUAGAUACCCGAGUAGUCC
rnacentral:rRNA from 1 species